CAAAGAAAAAGAAGAGAAAAAAACAAGGUCUAGUGCUAGCACAAGGGCAGACAGGAGGGAUAGUGUCUAUGGUAUUCGACAAUGCAUUAAAUCUGGGUCUUUGUUUGUGAUCACACGAAGAAAAUGAACAACGAAAUGUAGCUCAACAGCGAAUUCAAUAGCAGAUAUAACGAUGCAAAGAAUCAGUCAAUGACAAAAUUAUACACAAACAUCUAUAGGGAUGUCGAUAAUAACAAAUCCCAAAGUAGCAACAAUGAAGCCAGGAAACCUUUGCCAGCAAAAAUACGAAUUAGAGAAAGCCAGCGAUUACGCCAAACUGACAUAGCAGAAUACAACAACAAACCUGAAGAUCCCUCCAAUCACCAGAAGUACUCUAAUACUCCAAAAGAAAAAAAAAGAAAUCCAAAAUUUCAACAAAAGUCCCAAACUCAGGAACACCUCGUAACCCCUCCCUAAUCCGCCAUCACGGCUGCUGCCUAUCCCAGCUGCCCGUCGCCGUCUCUUUUUCCUCCCUCUUUCUCUUCAUUCUGUGAGGACGAUGCAGAGGUGGACUCCGAAUUUGAGGUCAAGGAUCGGCACAGGCGAUGGCCGGGGGCGGCUCGACGACGAGGGGUGACGGCACGGGAAGGGGAGUCGACGCCGACGGCGACGGCGACGCGUGGCGGAGGCUUGCGGUGACCGAUUGGUGGCAGGGAGAGACUGAGGGAAGAGUAGGGGAUUUUUCAGAGUCCAGAUAUUUUUUUUUGUGGAAAUUCUUCAAAAAAGUGAGGGCAGUUGGGUCAUUUAGGAGGGUAACCGCACCAUGCGCACACGGCAGGUGAACAGAUUUACCGGAGAUUCUCUAUAGUUUUUUUUUUUU
rnacentral:lncRNA from 1 species